rnacentral:lncRNA from 1 species
GUUUCAGCGAGACAUCACAUCAACCAGACCACAUCUGAGAGACUAUGAGUGUCACUGGUUUACUCUGCCUUUCAUUGCAUGGAUUCAUUCUCACAAUACAUGCUCUCCAGCACCAGCGGGUCCGGCCCAACGGCAUGGCCAUUCUGCCCUGUGGUGAGCUGAAGGCUGGGAAAGUGACCUGGAGCAGAGAUCUGAAAGGACGCAAAGUGUCCAUCCUCAGCACUGAAAAUGGAGACAUAACCAGACACAUACAGAAUCACAAUCACAGCUCCUUACCUGACCUGUCUCUGGUCAUCUGGUUUGUCUCAUCUUGGGAUGAAGGCUUGUAUUAUUGCAACAGGACACCUGUGGCAUGUCUAACAGUGAAAGCAGGUGGCGUGCGUGUGGAUGUGAUGGCCCGUGCGCUGAUGUUCGGCGGUGUUGGACUGGCGGCUCUGAUGCUUCUCUUCGCUACUGCAGCUGCAGUAAAAGCUUCACGCUCGACUCGCAUGGCAGACCACACUGAUCUAUAUAUUAACCUGAGAGAACGGCAGUCAAACUGAUGAAGAGCUUCAAGAAAACCUUUUAAACUGCUUAGUCAAACAUCACUGUUGCUAUUGUUCAUACGUACACUGUAAAAAAUUGUGCCAUUAAAUAACAGUAAUUUACUGGCAGCAGGGUUGCCAGUAAGGUACUAUUAAUUUACAACUCUAAAUUUUUACAGUGUUUUACCGUAAUUCUACCAUGGAAAUUAACUCCGCU